GAGUUUCAUUUCUCUUCACAGGUCAGCACCUUUAGCGAACCUUGGAAAAACUAUUGUGUGAGCAGUCAGCACACCAAGGCAGCAGCACCCGUUGAGUUCCACACUGCAUUCAGUGAAUUGAUUCUCAGGAUGACAGAAUCAUCACUUAACUGGAGCCAGGAGAGCCAUGGACCACCUGUAUGAGCCUUUACUCCUUCCCUCACUCUCCUCCCUUCUGCUCUGGCAAGUUCCCAGAAACAUGUACACCAUUCCCUCUGAGUGAACCUAUGGGAAUGAAUUAAAAAUGAGAAAAGACCUCUGGAUUGAAAACAAAGGAGAAGAGAAAUAACAUUCAAGUUAAUAAAACAAAGUUUCUUGCUGAUAUGUAAGUGAAAUUACUAUUUGUGUGAAAAGAAACAACAAGUCAGUGUGUUUGUGGGAGUACCAAAAUCUGUCUGAAAACAUUAGUCAAAGCAUUCUUUGUGAAUAAAGAUUGAAAGUGUGAUCACCCACUUAGCUAUUUCAGAGGGAUGACUGCAAGAUUCAUUUUAAUAAUUUUCAGUAAUUUCCAUAUCAAAACAUCGAUAGAAGACCAUAAAUUUUAAUUCCUCAUUACUAUCUCAUUGGUCCAUCCUGGAAACUUGUUCCUUUUCAAGGAAAAAAGUUUAAAAUGUUACUCUAACAUUGUAUGUUUGACUGGCAAAUUAAGGUAUCUUGUCCUGCUUGUGUUUCCUUUUCAUAAAUUGGAGACAGCAAAUAUGAUGUCUGCAUCUGUCAGUGAAUAUACAAGAAAAUAGUAAAACUGGUCUCUAAAAGUACUCUUCUGGUCAAGGACAUUUUGCUUGCCUGUUACUUAUGAGUGUGCUUCUUGCACACUUUACAAUUGAUACCUGUUCCUUGAGCAGGACAGUUCUGUUUCUCUGAGCUAUCUCGUGGGAAACCAAAAGGCAAACAAGGAGGCACUGAAGAUCCUAGCCCAGAGCAAUGGUAGCUUUUGAAAAUCACAUUUUCCCUGUUAUCACUGCAAUAUAUGCAGGUAGGCAGAUAACCAAGGAUUAGCUUUCUUCUGAAGCACCCAGAUUUUACUCAGAA